rnacentral:rRNA from 1 species
UACGUAGGGGGCAAGCGUUGUCCGGAAUCAUUGGGCGUAAAGCGCGUGUAGGCGGCUCGGUAAGUCUGCUGUGAAAGUCCAGGGCUCAACCCUGGGAUGCCGGUGGAUACUGUCGAGCUCGAGUCCGGAAGAGGCGAGUGGAAUUCCUGGUGUAGCGGUGAAAUGCGCAGAUAUCAGGAGGAACACCAAUGGCGAAGGCAACUCGCUGGGACGUGACUGACGCUGAGACGCGAAAGCGUGGGGAGCAAACAGA